AGCAGUAGCCGCGGUAAUACGUAGGGUGCGAGCGUCAAUCGGAAUUACUGGGCGUAAAGCGUGCGCAGGCGGUUGUGUAAGACAGGUGUGAAAUCCCCGGGCUUAACCUGGGAACUGCGCUUGUGACUGCACAGCUAGAGUAUGGCAGAGGGGGGUGGAAUUCCACGUGUAGCAGUGAGAUGCGUAGAGAUGUGGAGGAACACCGAUGGCGAAGGCAGCCCCCUGGGCCAAUACUGACGCUCAUGCACGAAAGCGUGGGGAGCAAACAGGAUUAGAUACCCCCGUAGUCCCUGUCUCUUAUAC
rnacentral:rRNA from 1 species